GUCUAUGGCCAUACCACCCUGAAUUCGCCCGAUUCUGAUCUCAAAAGCUAAGCAGGGUUGGGCCUGGUUAGUACUUGGAUGGGAGUGUGUUUUGCCUAGCAAGUGUGAGGCCCUGAGUUCAAACCCCAGUGCCACC
rnacentral:rRNA from 1 species